rnacentral:miRNA from 1 species
AAUGCAGUUUGAUCCAAGAUC